AUUGAACGCUGGCGGCAUGCUUUACACAUGCAAGUCGAACGGCAGCGCGGGCUUCGGCCUGGCGGCGAGUGGCGAACGGGUGAGUAAUACAUCGGAACGUGCCCAGUAGUGGGGGAUAGCUCGGCGAAAGCCGGAUUAAUACCGCAUACGACCUGAGGGUGAAAGCGGGGGAUCUUCGGACCUCGCGCUAUCGGAGCGGCCGAUGGCAGAUUAGCUAGUUGGUGGGGUAAAGGCCUACCAAGGCGACGAUCUGUAGCUGGUCUGAGAGGACGACCAGCCACACUGGAACUGAGACACGGCCCAGACUCCUACGGGAGGCAGCAGUGGGGAAUUUUGGACAAUGGGCGAAAGCCUGAUCCAGCAAUGCCGCGUGUGUGAUGAAGGCCUUCGGGUUGUAAAGCACUUUUGGCGGGAACGAAAAGGACUGUGCCAAUACCACGGUUCGAUGACGGUACCCGCAGAAUAAGCACCGGCUAACUACGUG
rnacentral:rRNA from 1 species